rnacentral:rRNA from 1 species
GAUGAACGCUGGCGGCGUGCCUAACACAUGCAAGUCGAACGAGAAGUCAAGACGAAAAUCCUCUUGCGGAAGGCGUUAUUCCGACGGGCGGACGGGACAGUAACGCGUGGGUAUCCUGCCUCAUACAGGGGGAUAAAAGUAGGAUACUACCGCAAAUACCGUACGGGAGAACACCACCGCACGUCGCGGGUGUAAAGACUCCGGUGGCAGGAGAUGGACUAGCGUGUGAUUGGCCAGUUGGCGGGGUAACGCGCCACCAAAGCGACGGUCGAUAGCCGAUCUGAGAGGAUGACCGGCCACAUUGGGACUGAGACACGGCCCAAACUCCUACGGGAGGCAGCAGUGGGGAAUAUUGCACAAUGGGGGAAACCCUGAUGCAGCGACGCCGCGUGAGUGAAGAAGUAUUUCGGUAUGUAAAGCUCUAUCAGCAGGGAAGAAAAUGACGGUACCUGAGUAAGAAGCCCCGGCUAACUACGUG